rnacentral:rRNA from 1 species
GAUGAACGCUGGCGGCGUGCCUAAUACAUGCAAGUCGAGCGAACGGACGAGAAGCUUGCUUCUCUGAUGUUAGCGGCGGACGGGUGAGUAACACGUGGAUAACCUACCUAUAAGACUGGGAUAACUUCGGGAAACCGGAGCUAAUACCGGAUAAUAUUUUGAACCGCAUGGUUCAAAAGUGAAAGACGGUCUUGCUGUCACUUAUAGAUGGAUCCGCGCUGCAUUAGCUAGUUGGUAAGGUAACGGCUUACCAAGGCAACGAUGCAUAGCCGACCUGAGAGGCUGAUCGGCCACACUGGAACUGAGCCACGGUCCAGACUCCUACGGGAGGCAGCAGUAGGGAAUCUUCCGCAAUGGGCGAAAGCCUGACGGAGCAACGCCGCGUGAGUGAUGAAGGUCUUCGGAUCGUAAAACUCUGUUAUUAGGGAAGAACAUAUGUGUAAGUAACUGUGCACAUCUUGACGGUACCUAAUCAGAAAGCCACGGCUAACUACGUG